GGACAGGUAGCGUAGUGGUUAAGCGUCUCUGAGCGUAUGUAUUCAGAAUUUGUGUUCUUUCCAGCGUUCAGCGAGGACCCGGGUUCGAAUCCCGGCCUGUCCA